rnacentral:snRNA from 1 species
GUGCUUGCUUUGUUGAGUAUGCAUACUAAAACUGGAAUGAAACAUAUAAAAUUAGCAUGGCCCCUGCAGAAGAAUGACAGAAUUCGUGCAGUGUUCCAUAUUUUG